AAAUGAACUAAAUAUCUCUGAGGGCCUUGAAUAAGACCCGGUGAACAAUUUUUGGAGGCCCUAUUCUCAGGAAUCGAAGA
rnacentral:snRNA from 1 species